rnacentral:rRNA from 1 species
GGUUGAUCCUGCCAGUAGUCAUAUGCUUGUCUCAAAGAUUAAGCCAUGCAUGUCUCAGUACAAGCCAAAUUAAGGUGAAACCGCGAAAGGCUCAUUAAAUCAGUUAUGGUUCCUUAGAUCGUACCCACAAUUACUUGGAUAACUGUGGUAAUUCUAGAGCUAAUACAUGCAAACAGAGCUCCGACCGGAAACGGAAGGAGUGCUUUUAUUAGAUCAAAACCAAUCGGUGGCGGGCUCGCUCGUCAUCGUACAACUUGGUGACUCUGAAUAACUUUACGCUGAUCGCACGGUCAUCGCACCGGCGACGCAUCUUUCAAAUGUCUGCCUUAUCAACUGUCGAUGGUAGGUUCUGCGCCUACCAUGGUUGUAACGGGUAACGGGGAAUCAGGGUUCGAUUCCGGAGAGGGAGCCUGAGAAACGGCUACCACAUCCAAGGAAGGCAGCAGGCGCGCAAAUUACCCACUCCCGGCACGGGGAGGUAGUGACGAAAAAUAACGAUACGGGACUCAUCCGAGGCCCCGUAAUCGGAAUGAGUACACUCUAAACCCUUUAACGAGGAUCAAUUGGAGGGCAAGUCUGGUGCCAGCAGCCGCGGUAAUUCCAGCUCCAAUAGCGUAUAUUAAAGUU